AAGUCGUAACAAGGUCUCCGUUGGUGAACCAGCGGAGGGAUCAUUACAGAGUGCCCCAUGGCUCUGCUACCCCUGAGAACCGUACGUUGUUGCCUCGGCGGGCCGUAGUGCCCGCCAGAGGCCCUUACACGCAUUAUUACCCGCCGUCCUCUGACUAAGAUUUUUAAAUUCAUAAAAACUUUCAACAACGGAUCUCUUGGCUCCG
rnacentral:misc_RNA from 1 species